rnacentral:lncRNA from 1 species
CUGAAAUCUAUAAAAGAAGUGUGACAUCUGACAGGAUAAGGAAGAAAGGAAAAGCCCUUAGCAAAAAGAAAAAAAAAAUUAAAAACAAAAAUACCACCUGUGUAAAUCUAGCCAUGCUCUGGAAACCCUUUCUCGGUCGUGGAGAAGAAACAGCUCAUGCUGAAUGCCUUGAAGUUGCAAUUAAAUUGUAGUAAUUUAAGAUUAUCGGGAGAGCAAAGGGCAGUAGGAGCUCUUCAGAGGGUUUCCCUCCCCACUUAAUGCUCUUCAGUCACGGGUUAAAUGAGUUUCUUUAAUGUAAGUACCUUAAAGUAACAGAAUCAUAAACAAAAUUUAUACUAUGUUCUGACAGCCUGCAAUCUACUUCGGUUUUAUUAACGUAUACCUAAAAUUAUUUUUAAAGGACAAAAUUCUUGCUAUACCCUGUAAAUAUUCUUGGCAUUCCCACUGAAAUGUGAUAGGUACUGUAACACCUAACCUUGUCUAAAUAUACAUACUUUUUGAGAUGUGGAAUCUUACAAGAUAGUGUUUCAAAACUGAGUUUGAGUCAUAAGUAAAACAUGAAAAUCAAAUAAAUAUGCACAAUAAGAUUGGCUGCAAAGAGGAAGCUGGGUUCAAAAGAAGUUGUCACAUCUGCUAUAUUCCUUCUCUUUCUUAAUUUUGGCACUGGACCCCCUGCAAUAUAAAUAUAUUUGAAAAAUAUCACAAUUCUUCUGUUAAUUUAAACAACUGCUGAAAACAGACAUACCCUUCAACAGAGCCUAAGAUGCAAAUUUACAAGGCCAGGGGUAUAGUCUUUAAAAAGGCAAAGAAAAACUCAGUAACAGAAAACCAUGCCUAGGCUCAAUAUUAACUCAGUUAACUUUUGCUAUUAUAAGUAUAAAUGGUUUAACUAGAAAAUAUUUAUAGCGUUUUCAAAACAUUACAUAUUGCAGAAAAUUGCCUAAUAGCAUCCAUGUGUAUGUUUAACCCACAUUGCUUAAUUAUACAAUAAAGGUAUAUCUAGUAAAAACUACAGACUUUGAAACAUGUUGUGCACCAUGGUUAUGAAACUCUGGCUUACAAAAAAUAUAUAAACUGCUUACUAUGUGACCGACACUUGUUAAUUAAAAAUAUAAUCCUUAAAUGACAAUUAUUUUUAUUCUUCUGUAUGUGUUUACUUAUCCUGUUUCCUACUUUGUUCUACUUAAUUUAAAAUAACAUUUAAUUUGGGGAUAGUUUAUCCCAGAAAAAAAAAAGUGUUACACAGUUUAUACUCCACGAUUUAAAUAUAAACACAAAAUCUUAGACAUCUCCAGCAAUAUAAACCCCUUAUCUGAGACAGUUAAUUUGAAUAGUUGAUGUUUCUUUCAUUAUACUUUGAUAAACCUGUGAAAACAAAAUGCUACAGUAAUUACUGUUACUACUCCCUUUAAAAAUGUAAAGUAGUUAAAUUUUCCUAGACAACAAGCAAGGACAAGUUACAGAGAACUUGAAUAAAAGUAGCAACGUGGUCAUGUUGAAUGUCAAUCUAAAAAAAGAGGUUGUCUAAUCUGGAGACUGCUCUCUCUCGCCUUUUUAAAUUCCAAGAGUGGGCUGACACAAAACUUCAUCACCAGAGAUUUUUUUUUUCUUUUUUUUCUUUUUUCUUUUUUUUUUUUUUUUUGAGCUUCACAUCAGAUUUAAACUCUCACAUACAAAACCUUGGCUUCCCUGACAAGGCAGAUCUUCUAAACUCAAUGUGAGAAAACGUUAUCUAACUCUAGUGUAGGAGUCUAAUGUUGGUAAAAAGAAUUCCAUUGCACAGUUCUUGGUAGCAAGACAGUCUCUGGACGACUUAAUAUUCCUUUAAUACAUUUUUGGGUAGCAUUCUCCUCAUAAAGAAGGAUACAUUAAAAAAAAUAACUUGUUUCGCGACUCGGCAUCCAUAAGGAACUCAAAUGCUGCCCAGAGAGGGGCUGAGUAUUUCCUUCCAAGUGAGCCUUCGCUUGCACAACAAAGAUUAGCAUCUGCAAUGGUCCAUUUCUGCAUAAGUGAACAUAUAGCCUUGCUGCUUGAUCGAAUAGUCCAGGGUUCUCCGUGUAGCAGCUCCUGACAACCACCCAGCAGCAGUUCUGUUUGAUCUCUCCUGCUUCCUUAAUUUGGGUUGUCAAGGUUCAGCAGUUGGAGGCUGUUUACUUUACUUUUCCAAAAAAAAAAAAAAAGUGAUUUUUUUUUUCUCCCUCUCUCUCAUACAAUGACUAAUCCAAAGUCUAAGGGGGGUGGGGGAUGCAGCCAGUGGCAAGAUGUUAAACCUUUUUUUUUCCCUUUGCAGUGAGAUUUUAGCUGACACCUUUUGAAUGGUAACUAGUUGAGUUCCUUUUUUAUAUUUUUCUUGCUCUUUAAUUGUGAGACGUUUCAAAUAGAAAGACAGAGGGGGGAAAAAAACAGUCCAAAUUUCUGAAACUGUGAGCUGAGUUUUCUUUUCCUGGACCCAAAGGGAUGGGUAUUUCCACUUUGAGAAUCAAAACUCCAGUGGAAUUCUAAAAAAGAUUUGAUACAUUUCUCUCUGGAACAGAAAAAUAGCAGGAACUCCUCUUUCUCAAUUAUGUAGGCUAUCCCUGGGUAGAAAACACCUGAAGUCUUACUAUUUCUUUAAAAAUUCUAGUUUACACAUCUCCCUCCAAAUUGAUUCUUGCUGUGGAAAACGGGGGUGGGGGAAAGGGGAUGGAAUGGAAAAAUUUUGCAGCGAUUCUUCAAUAUAUUUUCAGUAGCAGAAAAAUUCCUUUAAAUAUCCUUGAGGUCUUCUCAACUCAGCUAUUGUCCAAGCCCUAAACCCUUAAGUCUACGUACAACCAAUGGUGAAGUGUAGACGGUUUGAAUGUACAGAUGCCUUUCAAAGGGAAUCCAGAAUGCUCCUCCGGCUUACCCGCGGAGUCCGGGGAGGGAGUAGGAGCGCCGCCUUCACGCCCGCGGAGGAGGCGCCGGCAGCACCAUGGUCCCCGGCGCCGCUGCCGCUGC